CAAAUCCAGAGCGGCGGGCACUGACGGGCACUUGCACCGUGUGGACAGACUCUCCGGUUCUGGGGAAAUCCAGUCCCUGUUACUCCAUUUUGGCCAGAAAUUCAAGACAUUUCAGGUGGCAGAAUAAAUUCAAUCCUUGUUUCUCCAUCUUAUCGAGUAGUAGAAGUUAGUUACAUUCUCUUUGAACUCAUCAUGAAUUCCAUGAAGACUGAAGAAAACAAGUCAUUUAGCGCUAUGGAAGAUGACCAGAGGACUAGACCUGAAGUUUCAAAGGUAUAUCUACUUUUUUACAACUCCUCAGAGGAGUGAUAGUCUAACUAUAGUGCCAUAUGAGGAUCUUGGAGAUAAGUUCUUAAACAAUGGUCGUUAUAAGCCCUUCUCUUAGGUAGUUUAAAAUAUAUUUGGGGAGCUCAUACACAUAAGUGCUUGUGGAAAGCAAAAUGAUAGAGUUAACAAUGCUAAACGUAUGUUAAGACAACAAGAUGACUAACAAACAAUAUAGACACUUAAAGUCUUGGAAAGUGUAGACAGGCAAAAAUAAUUAGCUAAUGUUUUCUGAGGAAACACUGUGUGC
rnacentral:lncRNA from 10 species